GAUGAAGAACGCAGCGAAAUGCGAUACGUAAUGUGAAUUGCAGAAUUCAGUGAAUCAUCGAAUCUUUGAACGCAUAUUGCGCUCUCUGGUAUUCCGGAGAGCAUGCUUGUUUGAGUAUCAGUAAACACCUCAACUUCCAUAUCUUUUUUGAAAUGGGAGUUGGACUUGAGUGAUCCCAACGCUUUUCCUCACCGAAAAGUGGCGGGUUACUUGAAAUGCAGGUGCAGCUGGACUUUUCUCUGAGCUAUAAGCAUAUCUAUUUAGUCUGCCUAAAAACAGAUUAUUACCUUUGCUGCAGCUAACAUAAAGGAGAUUAGUUCUUGUGCUGACUGAUGCAGGAUUCACAAAGACAGGCUUCGGCCGACUUUGUAAACUCGAUCUCAAAUCAAGUAAGACUACCCGCUGAACUUAAGCAUAUCAAAAGCGGAGGA
rnacentral:misc_RNA from 1 species